rnacentral:rRNA from 1 species
GACGAACGCUGGCGGCGUGCUUAACACAUGCAAGUCGAACGCUGAAGCUCAGCUUUUGUUGGGUGGAUGAGUGGCGAACGGGUGAGUAACACGUGAGUAACCUGCCCUCUUCUUUGGGAUAACGCCCGGAAACGGGUGCUAAUACUGGAUAUUCACUGAUCUUCGCAUGGGGGUUGGUGGAAAGGUUUGUUCUGGUGGGGGAUGGGCUCGCGGCCUAUCAGCUUGUUGGUGGGGUGAUGGCCUACCAAGGCUUUGACGGGUAGCCGGCCUGAGAGGGUGACCGGUCACAUUGGGACUGAGAUACGGCCCAGACUCCUACGGGAGGCAGCAGUGGGGAAUAUUGCACAAUGGGCGGAAGCCUGAUGCAGCGACGCCGCGUGAGGGAUGGAGGCCUUCGGGUUGUAAACCUCUUUCGCUCAUGGUCAAGCCGCAACUGUGGGUUGUGGUGAGGGUAGUGGGUAAAGAAGCGCCGGCUAACUACGUGCCAGCAGCCGCGGUAAUACGUAGGGGCGCGAGCGUUGUCCGGAAUUAUUGGGCGUAAAGGGCUUGUAGGCGGUUGGUCGCGUCUGCCGUGAAAUUCUCUGGCUUUACUGGGGGGCGUGCGGUGGGUUCGGGCUGACUUUGAGUGCGGUAGGGAGAGACUGAACUUCUGGUGUAUCGUGGAAUGUCAUAUAUCAGAAGAACACCGGGGGAAGGCGGGUCUCUGGGCCGUUACUGACACUAGAACCAAAGCUUGGGAGCAAACAAGAUAAUUACCUUAGUAGUCCAAGGUGAAUUCCACGGGGGUUUCAGCUUAUCCGUCCCCUCGUCUAGUGAGAAGUUCUCUUGUUAUAUAUUUUUAUUCCUUUAGUGAGGUUUAAUAA